rnacentral:rRNA from 1 species
CGUGUAGGCGGUUUUGUUAAGUCUGAUGUGAAAGCCCCGGGCUCAACCUGGGAAGUGCAUUGGAUACUGGCAGACUUGAAUACGGGAGAGGGUAGUGGAAUUCCUGGUGUAGGAGUGAAAUCCGUAGAUAUCAGGAGGAACACCGGUGGCGAAGGCGGCUACCUGGACCGAUAUUGACGCUGAGACGCGAAAGCGUGGGGAGCAAACAGGAUUAGAUACCCUGGUAGUCCACGCCGUAAACGAUGAGUACUAGGUGUUGCGGGUAUUCGACCCCUGCAGUGCCGCAGCUAACGCAUUAAGUACUCCGCCUGGGAAGUACGGUCGCAAGACUAAA